rnacentral:rRNA from 1 species
GAUGAACGCUAGCUACAGGCUUAACACAUGAAAGUAGAGGGGUAACGAGAGGAAAGCUUGCUUUCCUUGUCGACGACCGGCGCACGGGUGAGUAACGCGUAUCCAACCUGCCCCCAACUAGGGAAUAACCUUGCGAAAGUAAGACUAAUACCCUAUAAUUUCCUAAGAUGUCAUCUGACGAGGAAUAAAGAUUUAUCGGUUGUGGAUGGGGAUGCGUCUGAUUAGCUUGUUUGCGGGGUAACGGCCCACCAAGGCAACGAUCAGUAGGGGUUGUGAGAGCAAGGUCCCCCACAUUUGAACUGAGACACGGUCCAAACUCCUACGGGAGGCAGCAGUGAGGAAUAUUGGUCAAUGGGCGGAAGCCUGAACCAUCCAAGUAGCGUGCAGGAUGACGGCCCUAUGGGUUGUAAACUGCUUUUAUACAGGAAUAAAGUUCGCCACGUGUGGUUAUUUGUAGGUACUGUAUGAAUAGGGACCGGCUAAUUCCGUGCCAGCCGCCGCAGUAA